rnacentral:tRNA from 1 species
CAAAAUGUAGCUAUUAAGAAAGCCUCUCUUUUACACAGAGAUAAUGUCUGUGCAAAUCAGACCAUAUUGA